ensembl:ncRNA lncRNA:CR45476 long non-coding RNA:CR45476
AAAUCGAAAUCUCCAGUUGGCUGGUUGGCUGCCUGGUUGACUGGCUUUAAGCCCUAUUGAUUUCGUUCAUUUUUCGAGCAUAACUAAUUAGCGAUUUCCUUGCGGCUGCUUUACAUAAUGGAUUUUCGACGACACCUGCGCGGCUUGUAUAAAAAGCUUAAUGCUGUCCAAAGAUAACUUGACCCUUAAUCCGAUCGCCAACUGACCCCCUGUGUCCACAUACCCGAUAAACUUCCUGUUGGCUUC